rnacentral:snRNA from 1 species
GGAUGUGAAGGCGAUCUGGCUGCGACAUCUGUCACCCCAUUGAUCGCCAGGGUUGAUUCGGCUGAUCUGGCUGGCUAGGCGGGUGUCCCCUUCCUCCCUCAUUACUCCAUGUGUGUCCCUCCCGAAGCUGUGCGCUACGUUGAAGAGGACAACCUUCCCCAAUAGAGGAGGACUGUUCUUCGGUCAAGGGUAUACGAGUAGCUGUGCUCCCUUGCUAGAACCUCCAAACAAGUUCUCAAGGUCCAUUUGUAGGAGAACGUAGGGUAGUCAAGCUUCCAAGACUCCAGACACAUCCAAAUGAGGUGCUGCACAUGGCAGUCUGCCUUUCUUU